UUCAUAGCCGUUCUGUUACCAUAAGGAAGGGUAUAAAAUACCACCCCCACUUCCCAUUUCUUUGGCUUCGUCAGAUCCCUGAGACAGUGUAAAUGGAAUCAGGACCUUCCUUCUGGUUGGCACCGCUUUCUUCCCCCUCCAUCUCUGCUUCCAGUGGUCCCUGUAAGCUAUUCCGGUGUCUGUGGCCAGCAGCCCCCACCCACGCUCGCCAGUCUGCCUGGGGCAGCGCUGCACAGAGCAGGGCUGGGAGCCUGUCACACCAGGAGUGGGUGUGAGCAUCUCUCAGCAGAGACACGGACCCUUCAGCGCCUACCAUGGAGUCCCAGGUACCGGGAUGGAUGCCCACGGCUAGACUCCUGCUGCUGCUCCUUCUCCUCUGCUUCGGGCCAGAGACCUCCAGGAGCAUCAGACCAGAUGCACUCAAAGAGAUCGUGGAUUAUGUGAAC